GUCGGUGUCGUGACGCUGCAGACGACCGUGCCGGUCGUCUGCGAAUUGCCGAGCCGCACGAGCUUGCUUCUGGAUGCGCAAGUGCGCGCGUGUCGAUGGCAUCGUGCUGCGGCGCGAAUUCACCGAGGGCAGCCUCGUCAAGCAGGGGCAGCGCCUCUACAAGAUCGA
rnacentral:ncRNA from 1 species